AAUUGGCAAGGAUGGAAGGAAUCAGACAGAACUUAAGGGCAAACUCUCAGAAUUCGUUGAAUUUCAUGUGACUGUGAAAGAAUUUGCCUUCAAGUAUGCGGAUGCUUAUGAGUUCAUUUUCUUGAUCUACUUUUUGUGGAGUAGUGUAACAAUUUGCAGCACUCUUUUAAUAGCUCAAUUUGAAUUGUCUCAAGACAAUACCAAUUUCUUCAUUCUAAUGACUCAAAUUGAUGUCAUGUUCUGGUCAUUUUUCACCAUAUUUUUAUUCUGCAUUU